rnacentral:rRNA from 1 species
CAGCACGCGGUAAUACGUAGGUGGCAAGCGUUGUCCGGAAUUAUUGGGCGUAAAGGGCUCGCAGGCGGUUUCUUAAGUCUGAUGUGAAAGCCCCCGGCUCAACCGGGGAGGGUCAUUGGAAACUGGGAAACUUGAGUGCAGAAGAGGAGAGUGGAAUUCCACGUGUAGCGGUGAAAUGCGUAGAGAUGUGGAGGAACACCAGUGGCGAAGGCGACUCUCUGGUCUGUAACUGACGCUGAGGAGCGAAAGCGUGGGGAGCGAACAGGAUUAGAUACCCCUGUAGUCCCUGUCUCUUAUACAC